UGCUUAUCUAGAGUGGCGGAGGGACUGGCCCUUUGAAGCCCAGCAACCUAUAUUUAUUAUGUGGUGCUAAUUCCAGACAGAUGAGGA
rnacentral:ncRNA from 16 species